UGAGUGUUGUUAGGAGUUUGAGUGAAUUAGCGGGGCCAUUUGUAUUCAUGGCUAUAUUAGAAAAAGCGGAGAUGGUGGAGUUCUUUCAUUACAGUCACAGCGCUGCUAGAUGAAACCACCCUGAGGCCUCCUAAAGCCACGUCUGAACCCAGCGAGUCUAGAGAAAAUGCCUCCAUGUAGGAUGCUUUGAGAUGAUUUCCUCACCUGACCACUUUGGUGCCACCUUUGUUCACCUGCAUGUCGACCGUACAUCCAGAGUUCACGUAGGAGGCCAGGUUGAUCUCUGAGAACUCCGCCUGAGGGAAUAAAAAGACAAGAGUUUACAGGAUACUAACACCAACAUCACGCACAGUAACUGACUCUUAUUUCUCCUGGAUUCUUUACAGAAACACAGACACAGAAGAGUUGCAGCGACAGAGCGAGCUGGUGGGAGAAGGCAAAUUGAGUUAUCUUCGGUCUGUGCAGGCCUUGUGAAAGAGCGUAGCCCGGCUACCUAAUGACUCCGACAAACUCCCAGAGACACUGGAAAGGAGGGGCCACUUCUGGGAAUAGACGGGACCCAUCCAUCCAUCCAUUAUCUGUACACCACUUAACCCUCCUGUUGUCCUCAUUUACAGGCACCAAAACAUAUUGUUUCCUUGUCUGAAAAAAAUCCAAAAUUCAGUAAAAAAAAUUCCCCAAAUUUCUGAAAAUUUGCAAAACCUUCAGGAAGAAAAUUUCAAUAAUUCCUUAAAAUUUUAUAUUAUAUUGUGUCCAUUUCCAGGAAAAUAACAAAAGUCUCAUGUUCUCAGAAUGUGUUUUUACAUUUUUCAGCUCAAAAUACCACAAAGAUGAUAGUCUUUCUGUUUUUGCAGUCUCUGGCUCUGAUAAAUGGUGUAAUUUAGCCGAUUUUUUAACGCAUUUCAAACCCACCGGCAAGUUUUGGGGUUAAGAGGGUUGAAGAUCUGCUGCAAACUACAUGUGUCCAUUAAAGGCAGAUAUGAAAAUGUACUAAAUUUUACUUAUGAUAAUAAUACUCUGGUUA